GACGUAGGAUGCAAGCGUUGUCCGGAAUUAUUGGGCGUAAAGAGUUCGUAGGUGGCAUGUUAAGUCUGAUGUUAAAGCCCGAGGCUCAACCUCGGUUCGGCAUUGGAUACUGGCAAGCUAGAGUGCAGGAGAGGCAAGGGGAAUUCCUAGUGUAGCGGUGAAAUGCGUAGAUAUUAGGAGGAACACCGGUGGCGUAAGCGCCUUGCUGGACUGUAACUGACGCUGAGGAACCAAAGCCAGGGUAGCAAAUGGG
rnacentral:rRNA from 1 species